rnacentral:rRNA from 1 species
GACGAACGCUGGCGGCGUGCCUAAUACAUGCAAGUCGAGCGGACUUAAAAAGCUUGCUUUUUAAGUUAGCGGCGGACGGGUGAGUAACACGUGGGCAACCUGCCUGUAAGACUGGGAUAACUUCGGGAAACCGGAGCUAAUACCGGAUAAUCCUUUUCUACUCAUGUAGAAAAGCUGAAAGACGGUUUACGCUGUCACUUACAGAUGGGCCCGCGGCGCAUUAGCUAGUUGGUGGGGUAACGGCUCACCAAGGCGACGAUGCGUAGCCGAGCUGAGAGGGUGGUCGGCCAAACUGGGACUUGGGCACGGGCCCGACUCCUAAGGGGAGCAGCAGUAGGGAAUCUUCCGAAAAGGACGGAAGUCCGGAGGCAGAACGCCGGGUGAGGGAUGAAGGUUUUCGGAUCGGAAAACUCUGUUGUUAGGGAAGAACAAGUACGAGAGUAACUGCUCGUAGCUUGAAGGUACCUAAACAGAAAGCCACGGCUAACUACGGG